rnacentral:rRNA from 1 species
GGCAUCAACAUCCCCAAUGGCAAGUCCUACCUAGGGGAUGCUGGUUAUGCAUGUUGGCUAGGUAUUCUUCCGCCCUUCAGGAAAACCAGGUACCAUCUGACCGAGUUCGCUGGUAGGAACUAUCCUAGGACUCCACAUGAGUUGUUCAAUCUCAGACACUACAACCUUAGAGUUACUGUUGAGAGGGAUUUUGGAGCUCUGAAGAGCAGGUUUAAGAUCCUAAAUCAGAAGCCAUUCCACACUUUCCCCACUCAGAUCAAGCUUGUUCUUACUUGUUGCAUUCUGCAUAACUGGAUCCUGCAAUGGGGUGUUGAUGAACUGGUGUCUGAGGAGGAAGAUGUGACGGAGGACGAUGUUGUCAGCUCUGGUCAUGGUGUGAAGGCAUUUGACAACGAAGCCUGGAAGAACAAAAGGAUGGGUUGGGCACAGGCAAUAUGGGAUAAUAGAGGUCAGACAAGGAUCUGA